GUAUAUAUUACACAUAUGUGUGUGUGUAUAUAUAUAUAUAUAUAUAUAUAUAUAUAUUAUAUAUGUAUGUGUAUAUUAUGCAUAUUUGUGUGUAUGUAAUGUGUAUAUAUAUUAUAUGUGUAUAUAUUCUUUUACUUCUUAUGGUGAUUGACUUGUGGCCCUGCUGGGGCACUACUUUGCCUCCCCCCCCCCAGUACUUAUAUUUUUAAAGUUUGGUACUUAUAUUGGCCUCUUUUGUGAAGCCACAAAGUUAUAAAACCAACACCAGUUGUCAGAUGAUAGAGAGGAGGUGAACACAAAGACAGACAGACAGACACACACACGUGUGUGUGUGUAUGUAUAUAUAUAUAUAUAUAUAUAUAUAUAUACACACACACACACACACACAUACACAUGACUGGCUUCCUCACAGUUUCUAUCUGUCAAAUCUACCUAAUUUACUUACAAAGCAUUGAUCAGUCUGGGGCUGUUGUAUAAGGCACUUCUGCAAGGUGCUGCCACGCAGUGGGACUGAACCUGAAUCCUCAAAGUCUUCACACUUUCCAUGUACCAAAUUUCAAUCAAGGUCAGGUUAUUAGUUGACCUAAGGUUUUGAGAGAAACCUUUUACUCAAAGCAUCACCAUUAUUUGGAAGGCAACAAACCAUCAAGAGCCUGAUGGAUGUGAAGUCAGCUUCUUAACCGUUGCAUUUAUAAUCUUCUUCUUCUUCUUGCAGCAUUCACCCGGGGUGGGUCGAGCUGGCUUCAUUCAUCCCCAAUGCUGUAUCUCUUACAAACGCCGACCAGGCCUGGCGAUUUGAGGCUAACGACCGCGCGUGAUCUCCAACCACUCCUUAUUCCAGCGGCAAACACUGUAGAUAUGGGGGCCUAGGUUGGGUCCCAGAUCAGCCUUGACUGUCAUCAGCCAGGUUUUUCGUUGUCCACGAACUUCCCUCUCCCAAGAUCCUUCAAAUAUUCCUCAUGCAUUUAUAAUAAUAAAUGUUAAUAUUUUACAUGAGUUAUAAUCCUUGGCCUUAAUUAACUGUAAACGAGCAAUAAAUAAAGUAUUUUUAUGUAUAUUGACAAUUCAGACAGAAGUAAAAGCGUGGUUGUCCUUGCAUGCAGGUUUGUCCCCUGCAUCCCUCUCCGGCUGAACAUUCCGAACCUCGUGGGCUCAUGGGUGCUAAUGUCAUGUAAAAAGCACAUAUACCGGGGCCAUGUAAAUGCAUCUGUGCCAGUGCUGCGUAAAAUUGAACCCUGUACACUGUGUGAAGUGGUUGGCAUCAGGGAGGGCAUCCAGCUGUAGAGACCAUGCUGUAAACAGACAAUUGGAGGAGCCGGGGUAACUCUUCAGCUGGUCAGCUCUGUGUCAAACUGUCCAACCCAUGCCAGCAUAGAAAACAGACAUUAAAUUAUGGUAAUGAUGAUGAUGAUUAUUAAAAUGAAAGCAAAAUAUAGAAUUAAAAAAAAAAGAAAAUCUGCCGAUGUUCAAUUGUUACAGUUUGCAAGCAAGCAAAGUCCAAAUGCUUAGACCUGCUGUUCUUAACCUUAAGUGGCCCUCAAGCAUCCUUCAGCGGCCCUGAUGGUCAUCCGUCUCUAAAUCUUAUAAAUUUUUCUUUAACGUUUUACCAUUCAGAUUAUUUUGACAAAUGUAAUGCUUCUUUGUUCACAUUUUAAAGAAUUAAAGAAUUAAUCCUGUAUUAUCUUGUAGCUUUGAAAUUUUGAAGAUAUGAUUGUUUAUAUAUAUACUGGCAGAUGGAUUUAACCAAAUCAUCAACCACUGAUGAUGAUGCCUUGGAAAUAGGCAAAACUAGUCUAGUGGUUCCAGAGAUGGUCAUGGUGUGGUUACUUCCCCUCUGUGUGUGUGUGAAUAUAUAUAUAUAUAUAUAUAUAUAUAUAUAUAUUACUGAGAUGUACUUGCAUAGCAAGUGACCUGAUCUGAGAUUGUGUGUGCUGGAACGAAAACAGUUGCAGCAUAGAAGAUGUUUAUAAGCCAUUUAAAAACACACAAAAACUGUUAGAUUCACUUCAACAUUUAAAUUUAAUAUGCCAAAAUAUUUUCAUCGCUUUGAGACCGUGACCUGUUCACUGACAAAAUUCUGUGCUGCAGAAUAUAUAUAUAUAUAUAUAUAUAUAUAUAUAUAUAUUGCACUCUUACAGCAUUGAGAGUUUAACUCUUAUUUCUAGCAAUGUAGGUUCUUAUGCACCCUUAGUCACAUUUAGUGGCAAUUAAAUAUUUCCUUUAUAGUGUAUGAGUAUAUAUAUAUAUAUAUAUAUAUAUAUAUGAGAUUUUUGUGCAAACACCUUGCUGUUGUAAGUGUUACCAGUUGAAAGCCCCACAUACCAGAUGCUAGUAAGUUUAUGGGAUCAAGAGAGAAUGCAUACCCUUUUAUAUUUAUUUAUGUAUAUAUAUGUAUAUAUAUACAUGAGUAAAACGCCCCCUAUCCAAUGGACAGUGCUGAGUUGUCAAACAUUUAAACCAAAUUUUCUCAAAACUUGUCUGACCGUCCCUAAGGCCUCCCCUUUGAGAAACACUGAUUUAACCUAAAUUUGAGACGCCAGCAAAAGACAGAUUUCAACCGAUGUACUUGCGCAUACAAAUGCACGUUCCCACGGCUUUAUCAAUCGCAUUCUCUGUAAUUUUUUCAAGACUUAUACACGCCCUGAUACUGUCAGUAUCUAUAUAUCAAAUUUGAGCGCAAUCGGAUGCAGGAUGCCCGAGAUCCUAGAAGACACACACAGACAGACAGAAUGGAUUUUAUAUAAUAUAUAUAUAUAUGUGUGUAUGUAUUCACACACAGUCCUGUUUGUAUGUAUGUAUGCUUAGAGCAACAAGUUGGCCUUCGUGCCAAUGGCAUGUUAAGCACACCAUUCGAGCGUGAUCGUUACCGCAUCACCUUACUAGCACUUGUGCUGGUGGCACGUGAAAUAUUCGAGCGAGGUCGUCGCCAGUGCCGCUGGAGUGGCUCCUUUGCAGGUGGCACGUAAAAAGCACCAUUUGGGCGUGACCGUUGCCAGUACCAUCAAACUGGCCCUCUUGCCGGUGGUACGUAAAAUCACCCACUACACUCUCGGAGUGAUUGGUGUUAGGAAGGGCAUCCAGCUGUAGAAACUCUGCCAGAUCAGAUUGGAGUCUGGUUUGCCAGACCUCAGUCAAAUCGUCCAACCCAUGCUAGCAUGGAAAGCGGACGUUAAAUGAUGAUGCAUCUAUAAACACAUACAGAUACACACAAGUCCACAAAAUCACAUAUGUAUGAAUAUGUUGCAUAUCUGUACAACUCCGGAAUGAAAAAUCACAUCUAGAAUGUCCCAAUUGUUUUCUAAAAUUUAAUAUUACAAGCAAGCCAUAACUAAUUUCUCUUACCACAACCACCACCACCUCAAGCCGUAAUAGAACUCAGUGUUAUUUGUAUUAUCCAGUUUGUAUUAUGUUAUUCUGUUAAACCUGUGGCUUUCCCUGCAAACCAACAAAGAGACACACACACACAUUUUCUCUUUAAUGUUCCUAUUUUAUAAAAGGUGUGAAAGAUUUAAAUAGUUAAAUGUGAAUAUAGAGACAACAUUAUACACGCACACACACACAUAGAUACACUAUAUAUAUAUAGUGUGUCUAUCCAUUUAUAAAUGCUAUAAAUGUAUGUGCAUAUAAAUAUAUAUGUGUGCAUGUAAACAUGUUUGCAUAUGUGAGUGUGCAAAUGUAAAUGUGUUUGCAUUGUGUGUGUGUGUGUGUGCAUGUAAACAUGUAUGUAUGUGUGUUUGCUUGUAAAUAUGUGUGUGUGUGUGUGCACAUGUGUGUUUGCAUGUGUGUGUAUGUAUGUGCUUGUAAACAUGUUUGCAUAUGUGUGUGUUUGCAUAUAUAUAUGUGUGUGUGUGUGUUAAGGUGGUGAACUGGUAGAAUUGUUGGAGUAUUGAAUUAUCAUGGUGUCUAGCUUGUGCCUCCUCGGAGGGGAACGUUCUAGGUUCAAUCCCAUGGUAAUUCGUGGCCAAAGGGAGUCUUUAUAUAAUGUGCAUUUAGGUUUUCAUUUAUUGUUAUUGCACACUAAUCGUUAAGAAAUGUCACCACCAUACAAAUGAAGUCAUUCGUUUGCAAUCUUCCUCAAAAUCAGGUCAGGCCACUGAGGUAAUUGUGUUCAGGAGACAAGAAGUGUGUGUGGGGGGAAUUACAUUAAAUGGAAACAGAUCAGAGUUGGUAGCAAGAAGAACAUGUAGCUAUAGAAAAUCUGCCUCAAUGAGUUUCAUCUGAUCCAUAUCAGCAUGAAAAUAUGGACCUUCAAACAGCAAUAAUGGUUUACAACCAACAAAUAUUGUAAAUAUGCAUUUCGUUAUUGUCCACAGGUGGCUAAACGUAGAGGGGGCAAACAAGGAUAGAUAAAGGGAUUAAGUCGAUUACAUCGACUCCAGUGUGUAACUGGUACUUAUUUAAUCGACUCCGAAAGGAUUCCAGCUUGCUGCCUUUUGUAAAUAUUGUAAUAUCUAUGGGAGACAGUUACAGAUUUCUCAGAGGAUUAUAGGAUCUACCGUGAAGUAUGAGAACUGACCAAAACUAUGUCAAUGUUAUGUCAACCUUAUCACAGUAAUUACUGAAAUACGGUUUUGAGUUUUUGGACUCGGAGGGCUGGUUACUUGGUUUCCGUGAUACCAAUCCAGUGCAAGGUGGUCACUCAUUUUGGAGUUGAAUGGACUGAAAGAAUGUGAAAAGAAAUAUUUCACACAAAAACACAAUGCAGUGACUCGUCCAAGAAUUGAAACCAUUAUCUUGCAAUUAUGAUUGCCUAAUUAAUUUGCACAAAUUAAUUUAAAGCAAUUUAUCAUUAAACUGAAGGAUUACUCAUUAUUUUUUAAUGGAAUAUAUAUUUUUUAAAUUGCUCUCCUUCGUCAGAUUGUCUGAUGAAAAGGAAGUAAAAUCUUUCUCAAAAUAAUAGUUGAUAUGUAUGAAAGUUGAUACGUACAAACCAUGCCUGUGCGGAAAUGGACAUUGAUGAUGAUGAUAUGUACUCAUGCAUGUAUACAUACAUGUGUGUGAAAGCGUGUAGCCAAGAUUGUGUGUUUGAUUCCCUGAUUGGACAGCACGUUGUAUUCUUGAGCAAAACAAUUUCACAUUGCUCCAGCCUGACCUUUCAAUCAUUGGGGAAUGUUGACCUGCUCACCUAACCAGUGGGGUGGCAUUAUUCGAAGGUUAAAACAAUGCAAAAUGCAUUGUGACCAGUGCUGUGUAACAACAUUUGAUGGCUUGGUUGGUCCAAAGAUAAUGGACAGAGUCAACAACUAUUGAAAAGAUUGUAAGACACAAAGAAAAUUUUAGGAAAAAUAAAUAAGUAAAUGAGUGGAAAUAUUACCGGUGAGUGUGUUAAAGGCACUAAAAGAGAAUGACCCUCCCCAGACACAACAACAUUUUGAAGAGAAUCCAGCUGCAAAGACUGUGCCAAAGCAGACCUUACCAAUGCUGGUGCCAUACCCAGGCCACUCUGUAAAGUGGUUGGCAUCAGGAAGGGCACCCAACCAUAGAAACCUUCCAAAACUGAGAGCUGGCAGAAGCAUUAACAUGUGCAAAAUGCUAAGUGGCAUUUUGUCUAUCUUUACGUUCUGAGUUCAAAUUCUGCUGAGGUCGACACUGCCUUUCAUCCUUUUGGGGUCAAUAAAGUAAGUACUACUUGAGUUCUGGGGUUGAUGGAAUCGACUUAAGAUUGUGGUUUCGAUUCCUGGACCGGGUGACGCGUUGUGUUCUUGACCAAAACACUUCAUUUCACGUUGCUCCAGUCCACUCAGCUGGCAAAAAUGAGUAACGCUGCGAUAGACUGGCAUCCCGUCCAUCUGGGGAACACAUACGCCAUAGAAACUGGGAAACCGGGCCCAUGAGCCUGGCUGGGCUUUAAAAGGGCACAUUUAUUUAUUACUUAUACUCAUGGUCUUAUGGCUGUAGGUUCCAUCCUACUCUCUCUCUUUCUUUAAUAGUUUUUUUCUCAGUCUCUUUGCAAAUUCAAACAGUGUUCUGAUGUUAUCAGGCUUUUUAAUGCUUUGUUUUUUCCUUUCCACUCGAAAAUAACCCGUCUUUAACCCUAAAAUACCUGUUAAUAAUUAUUGGUGCUUCAAAUAUAACACUAUUUUGGAAAAAUAACAAAAUCAAAAGUCUGAAUAAGCUCAAAGGAUUCCUUUGAUUAUAUACAUCAUUAGCAAAGAGUUGAUCAGAAUAUUUGGUAGAAAUAUUGACAUCUGAAUAACUAUAUAGUAUACACACACACACACACUCACUCACACACACACACUCACUCACUCACUCACUCACUCACUCACUCACACACACACACUCACUCACACACAAAUAUUCACUCACAAGUCAUUAUUUUUUGUUUUUCUAAUGGUGGAACUUGAAGUAGAUAAAUCUAUAAAUAACAGCAUCUGGAAUACUGGGGCACCCUUUGAAUUUUUCCAUCUAAGGAGGAUUUUUUACCCAAUUUUCUUACUAUUUAUAGCUUUAUCAAAGCAGCAAGUUGGCAGAAUGGUUAGCACACUGGGCAAAAUGUUUCACGACAUUUCUUUCAGCUUUACAUUCUGAGUUCAAAUACCACCAAAGUUGACACUGCGUUUUAUCUUUUUGGGGUCGAUAAAAUAGGUACCUUUUGCAUACUGGGGUCAACGUAGUUGACUAACAUCCUCCCCCAAAGUUUCCUGCUUUCUGCAAAUUGUUGAAAGGAUUAUUUUUUUCUAAUCUAAGUUCUACCAUUUAAAACAAUUUAUUCCAAUCUCUCAAAGUUUCUAAAUGUUUAUAACAAGAGGCCAAGCUUCUUGGAGGUUUUGUAUUUUUCUUUUGAGAGAGCAAGAAUUAUAUAAUCUAUUUAUAGUUCUACAAAAAGAAAACAGUACAAUCUAAAAACGCUACAAAAGGAUUCAAUACCUUGUUACAUAGUGUUUAUAUUUAUUAUAUAUAACAACAACUUUCACUUGUGCAAUACAUCUAUAUUUUUCAUAUCUUUGAAAAUAGAUUGAAACACCAGUAAAAUAUCUGACACCUUACAUAUGUGUGUGAGAGAGAGAGAGUCCUGGUUUUCUUCGACAAUGACUCUUCAAAUCCAUAAAGGUUCCUACAUGCUUUGUAAUACCAACCUGCCCAACAACACCCCCUGUGGCUCUAUAAUACUAAUUCUGUGUUUUAAAAUGACCUAAAUUAAAAACUUCAAACCAAAUUUCGUGUUAAUUUCUGUUCCAAACACCAGCUUAAAAACGACUUGGCUAUUUUCCUAAAUCCUUCAGUAUUUUCAAAAUCAAUUGAAACGAAGACAGAAUAUGGAUCUUUUCGGUUUGAACGGCAGUUUUUUCUAGCGGUGUCAUAUGAAAUUGUCACCCAUAAUUAUGACCCUAGUAUCGAUCUAUUGCAUUUCAAUCUCUUUUAGGGUUAAGAUUAAGGGUGGGGGGAAGGGUAUCUUUUUCUUUACAAAUGUAAAUUAACCCAAUCUGUUUCUUAAACGAGGGACAUAUUCAUACGGCACAGAAUACAUUUUACCUCAAUGGAUGUCAGUGAUUAGCUGAAAUUGCAGAAAUUGAAGAAAAAAGAACAACAAAUAUAUUACAAACCAUAGAAUUUUCUCAAUAAAGCCAAGAGAAAAAGAUGUUUUAUAAACACAUUCUACCAGUAUACGAAGUUUAAAAUUUUUUAGUUACCUAGAAAUUAUGUUAAAAACUGCCGUUCAAAUAGAAAAGAUCCCAGAAUAUUUCAACAGAAAUAUGGUAACGGAAAGGUUAACAACAAUGCCUCACAUAUGCAUACCUGUACAUACAAACACAUAUACACACACACACAUAUGCAUACACACAUACAGGUGUGUCUAUGUAAGGAUGUAAACUUUUUUUUCCUGUUUUUUCCUUUUUGUCAAACACACUCCUUUAACCCUAAAUAAACUGAAAAAGAUCAAUAAAUAAUAUUUUUCCUUUCCUUAUUGGAAUAAUUUAUUGAUAAUCUAAUCAUAACAGGAUUACAAUAGUAAAAAAAAAAUCUAUUGAUUUUUUUUAUUUUUUGCAUUUUUUUUGACACCAACAGGUUUCAAACAGUCUGUAAAGAUAUUGUGGGCAUUGUCCCUCCUCUUCUAACCAACUCUUAUAUUAUUUAUUUUUGUGAAAUAUAUUUCAGACAAUUGUGAUGUAGUCAUUUUUCAGUGACAGUUUUUUUUUAUAUAAAUGUGUAUUAUUUAUCCGUCUUUCUGGUGUUGUUGUUGUUGUUGCUGCUGUUGUUUAGCCCCUCCCUCCACGGCAGUCCUAAUUAAGGAAACACUAUAUGAUUGCACAAACAAUACGAUUAUCUCCAACAUGUUUUUGUUGUUUUUCUCCC
rnacentral:lncRNA from 1 species